UGUGUACUCCCUCCGUUCCAAAAUACUUGACUUCCAUUUGUCCAAAAAUGUAUGUACCUAUAUACUAAAACAUGUCUAGAUACAUAUAUAUUUUGACAAAUAGAAGGCAUGUAUUGUGCAACGGAGGGAGUAGAAU
rfam:Triticum aestivum genome assembly, contig: Triticum_aestivum_CS42_TGACv1_scaffold_337043_4BS